rnacentral:rRNA from 1 species
UGCGGAGGGUGCUAGCGUUGUUCGGAAUUACUGGGCGUAAAGCGCACGUAGGCGGAUCAGUUAGUCGGGGGUGAAAUCCCGGGGCUCAACCCCGGAACUGCCUUCGAUACUGCUGGUCUGGAGUCCGAGAGAGGUGAGUGGAAUUCCGAGUGUAGAGGUGAAAUUCGUAGAUAUUCGGAGGAACACCAGUGGCGAAGGCGGCUCACUGGCUCGGUACUGACGCUGAGGUGCGAAAGCGUGGGGAGCAAACAGG